rnacentral:rRNA from 1 species
CGGUUGAUCCCGCCGGAGGUUACUGCUAUCGGGGUUCGAUUAAGCCAUGCAAGUUAAAUGUUUUUCGUAAACAUAGCGAACUGCUCAGUAACACGUGGAUAACUUAACCUUAGGUCCGGCAUAACCCCGGGAAACUGGGGAUAAUUCCGGAUGUAUCAAGGAUGCUGGAAUGCCCUUUGGUUCAAAGCUUUUGUGCCUAAGGAUAGGUCUGCGGUCUAUCAGGUUGUAGUGGGUGUAACGUACCUACUAGCCGACGACGGAUACGGGUUGUGAGAGCAAGAGCCCGGAGAUGGAUUCUGAGACAAGAAUCCAGGCCCUACGGGGUGCAGCAGGCGCGAACACUUUACAAUGCGGGAAACCGCGAUAAGGGAACCCCGAGUGCCAGUACUAAGUGCUGGCUGUCUAGAUGAAUAGAUAUCAUUUAAUAGCAAGGGCCGGGCAAGACCGGUGCCAGCCGCCGCGGUAACACCGGCGGCCCGAGUGGUAACCGAUAUUAUUGGGUCUAAAGGGUCCGUAGCCUGUUUAAUAAGUCCUUUGGGAAAUCUGGCAGCUUAACUGUCAGGCUGCUAAAGGAUACUGUUAAACUUGGGACCGGUAGACGUAGGGGGUACUCCAGGGGUAGGAGUGAAAUCUUGUAAUCCCUGGGGGACCAUCUGUGGCGAAGGCGCCCUACGAGAACGGGUCCGACGGUGAGGGACGAAAGCUAGGGGAGCAAGCCGGAUUAGAUACCCGGGUAGUCCUAGCUGUAAACGAUGCUCGCUAGGUGUCAGGCACGGUGCGUCCGUGUCUGGUGCCGCAGGGAAGCCGUUAAGCGAGCCACCUGGGGAGUACGGUCGCAAGGCUGAAACUUAAAGGAAUUGGCGGGGGAGCACUACAACGGGUGGAGCCUGCGGUUUAAUUGGAUUCAACGCCGGA